rnacentral:rRNA from 1 species
AUUGAACGCUGGCGGCAUGCCUUACACAUGCAAGUCGAACGGCAGCGGGGACUUCGGUCCGCCGGCGAGUGGCGAACGGGUGAGUAAUGUAUCGGAACGUACCAUUCAGUGGGGGAUAACUAUCCGAAAGGAUAGCUAAUACCGCAUAUUCUGUGAGCAGGAAAGCAGGGGAUCGCAAGACCUUGCGCUGAUUGAGCGGCCGAUAUCAGAUUAGCUAGUUGGUGAGGUAACGGCUCACCAAGGCUACGAUCUGUAGCGGGUCUGAGAGGAUGAUCAGCCACACUGGGACUGAGACACGGCCCAGACUCCGACGGGAGGCAGCAGCGGGGAAUUUUGGACAAUGGGCGCAAGCCUGAUCCAGCCAUGCCGCGUGAGUGAAGAAGGCCUUCGGGUUGUAAAGCUCUUUCGGCCGGGAAGAAAUCGCAUCAGCUAAUACCUGGUGUGGAUGACGGUACCGGAAUAAGAAGCACCGGCUAACUACGUGCCAGCAGCCGCAGUAACAC